AUCACAGGGGCACUCAAACAACAGAUCUUGGUGUGACUGAUCUGAGAAGUCAAAGAAAAUGAAAGCAUCAGGGAAAUGUGAAGGUGACUGUCCGUGCUUGAUGUUGAACUUGGAAGGAAUCAGGUGGAAAGGGACUGAGUGUGUACUCUCAGAGCUGAGAGUGACAGGAGGCAAGAAACAGAAACUUCUAUGCUACCCACAAGGAAAUGAAUCCCUGUGGCAACCAUGGGAUUACAGGAGCAGAUAGCAUUCAAAGCCUUAGCCUGGAACUCUGCCCAGUGACGUCUCGGUUUCUGCUUUGUGAGAUGCCAAGAGGAGAACCCACUCAUGUGUUUGUGGCAUGCCAGAUCCCUGACUGCAGAGCUACAAUUCUGAUGCAGGAGAAAUUCUAUUCUCAGAUGGAAACCGGGACACAACUGACCAUGUUAGAUAAUGGUGAUGCAUUGAACUGGGAACCUGGAUGAACCAAAAGUGAAUGAAUAGGAAAGGAUUGGAAGGUCCAAUUUGCUGAAAACAACAACAACAACAACAACAAAAAAAAACAAAAACAACAACAAAAACUAUACCAAUUGAAAACUGAUAAAACUUGAGGGAGAAAUCAAAAAGGUUUUUCCUAAGAAUCACAAGAUGGAUAAUUAUCUCACAAGGGAUGGCAUAGAAAUUGAGGCUCCAAAACAGAACUGCCAGGACUGUGCCUGCCACUUGGAAGAUUAGGUAGGAAGAAGUUUUAAAAGAUCAUGGAAACGUUAAAACUUUCCCCUGUGACAUCUCUUAAAAAAGAUCCCAGUCAGCCUGAAAAAUAAGGUUCUCCCAUUUUCUUCAGAUGUCAGAGCAAAGAAAAAGCUCUCAAAAGUCCCUCAGUGACAAGCGCUGUCACUGUCAACAGAUCCCAUCACAAAGCCAUCGUGUUAUGCCUACAUUAACUGAGUUCCUGGUAUGUGAUAGGUGCCAAUAUCGUCCUGGACUUGGAAAACAGAUUUAGCUGAAAAAAAAGUCAUUCAGGAAUCUAAAAGGAAG
rnacentral:lncRNA from 1 species